UGCAUCUGCGCUUCGAGCAGGUCCGCCGCGCGCGCGAGGCAGUCCGCGCGCGCGUCGACGGGCGUCGCCUGCCAGAUCGGCGCGGCCGCGACCGCGUGCGCGAGCGCCGCGCUCACCUCGUCGGGCGUCGCUUCGCUCACCGUGCCGACGACGUCGCGCAGAUCGGCCGGAUUGCGCACGUCGCGCGGCGCGGCGUGGGCGAGCGCGUCGUCGGCGAGCAUCGGCGCGGCGCGCCACGGAUGAUGCGCGCUCGCGAGCAGCGCCGACGACAGCGACGCGAGCCGGUGCUCGUUCGACAGAUCGAGGCCCAUCGAAUUGACGCGCGACGCGCCGUACAGCUCGCGCGGCAGCGCAAUCUUCGCGUGCGGCGCGCCGAGCGGCACGACCUUCAGCGCAUCCUCGACCGGAUCGGCCACCAGUUCCUUCACCGACACGGUCUUGUCGGCGAUCCGGUUCACGAACGACGUGUUCGCGCCGUUCUCCAGCAGGCGGCGCACGAGAUACGCAAGCAGCGUCUCGUGCGUGCCGACGGGCGCGUACACGCGGCAUGGGCGGUUCAGCUUGUCGCGGCCGGUGACUUCCUCGUACAGCGGCUCGCCCAUCCCGUGCAGGCACUGGAACUCGUACUGGCCGGGGUAGUAGUUCUGGCCCGCGAGGUGAUAGAUCGCGGCGAGCGUGUACGCGUUGUGCGUCGCGAACUGCGGAUACACGGCGUCCGGCGCGGCGAGCAGCUUCUUCGCGCACGCGAGGUAGGACACGUCGGUGUAGAUCUUGCGCGUAUAGACCGGAUAGCCUUCGAGGCCGUCCACCUGCGCGCGCUUGAUCUCGGAAUCCCAGUACGCGCCCUUCACGAGGCGGAUCAUCAGGCGAUGGCGGCUGCGGCGCGCGAGGUCGACAAGGUAGUCGAUCACGAACGGGCAGCGCUUCUGGUACGCCUGCACGACGAAGCCGAUGCCGUUCCAGCCGGCGAGCUCCGGAUCGAAGCACAGCGCCUCGAGCAGAUCGAGCGAGAGCUCGAGCCGGUCCGCCUCCUCGGCGUCGAUGUUCAGGCCGAUGUCAUAGCGGCGCGCGAGCAGCGCGAGCGAGCGCACGCGCGGCAGCAGCUCGUUCAUCGUGCGUUCCUGCUGGGAGCGCGAGUAGCGCGCAUGCAGCGCCGAGAGCUUGAUCGAGAUGCCCGGGCCCUCGUAGAUGCCGCGGCCGCCCGCCGCCUUGCCGAUCGCGUGGAUCGCCUGCUCGUACGACGCGUAGUAGCGCAGCGCGUCCUCUUCGGUGGUCGCCGCUUCGCCGAGCAUGUCGUACGAGUAACGGAAGCCGCGCGCCUCGUACUUGCGGCUGUUCGCGAGCGCUUCGGAGAUCGU
rnacentral:rRNA from 1 species